AUACCAGCUCUUCAAGUGGUCGGGAUAAUUAUUGGGCUUAAAGUGUCCGUAGCCGGUUUAGUAAGUUCCUGGUAAAAUCGGGUAGCUUAACUAUCUAUAUUCUAGGAAUACUGCUAUACUAGAGGGCGGGAGAGGUCUGAGGUACUACAGGGGUAGGGGUGAAAUCUUAUAAUCCUUGUAGGACCACCAGUGGCGAAGGCGUCAGACUGGAACGCGCCUGACGGUGAGGGACGAAAGCCAGGGGAGCGAACCGGAUUAGAUACCCGUGUAGUCC
rnacentral:rRNA from 1 species